CGUACGAUACGAGUUUGAUCAUGGCUACAGAACGACGCUGGCGGCAUGCCUAACACAUGCAAGUCGAACGAAGGCUUCGGCCUUAGUGGCGCACGGGUGCGUAACGCGUGGGAAUCUGCCCUUGGGUUCGGAAUAACUCAGAGAAAUUUGAGCUAAUACCGGAUGAUGACGUAAGUCCAAAGAUUUAUCGCCCAAGGAUGAGCCCGCGUAAGAUUAGCUAGUUGGUGGGAUAAAGGCCUACCAAGGCGACGAUCUUUAGCUGGUCUGAGAGGAUGAUCAGCCACACUGGGACUGAGACACGGCCCAGACUCCUACGGGAGGCAGCAGUGGGGAAUAUUGGACAAUGGGCGAAAGCCUGAUCCAGCAAUGCCGCGUGAGUGAUGAAGGCCUUAGGGUUGUAAAGCUCUUUUACCAGGGAUGAUAAUGACAGUACCUGGAGAAUAAGCUCCGGCUAACUCCGUG
rnacentral:rRNA from 1 species